CCUGCCAGUAAUCGAUAUGCUUGUCUCAAGGAUUAAGCCAUGCAUGCGCGAGUUUAAUUUCGACACGGAGUGAAACUGCGAAAGGCUCAUUAUAUCAGCUGUAAUUUCAGUGGUUGAUUUGGUUUUUUUUGGGCGUGCUGGGGGCGACUCUGGCGGGCCCGGGAGAGAUUGAUAGAUGGAUAGCGGUGGCAAUUCUAGGGCUAAUACAUGCGCGAAGGAGCGGUGCGGGAGCGCUGCUUUGUAUUUAUUAGGUACAAAACACGAAGAACGUAAAACUUGGUGUGGUGAGUCAGGAUAACUGGACGGACCCUGGGGCGAAGGCUCCUUGGGGCGGACCACGUGAACUUCUGCCCUAUCAACUGUCGACGGUGGGAUCGGGGCCCACGGUGGUGAUAACGGGUGACGGGGGAUUAGGGUUUGAUUCCGGAGAGGGGGCCUGCGAAAUGGCCACCACUUCCAAGGAAGGCAGCAGGCGCGCAAAUUGCCCCAUCUCGGAUUGAGGAGGCAGUGACAAGAAAUAGCGAGGCGGGGGGGCAACCCUCUGCCAUUGCCAUGAAUGUAAGGUAAAUGUGUGCGUGAGCAACAAUUGGAGGGCAAGUGAGGUGCCAGCAGCCGCGGUAAUUCCUUCUCCAAGAGCGUAUAUUAAAGUUGCUGCAGUUAAAAAGCUCGUAGUCUGUGGUUUUUUUGGCGGGGGGAGGGGCUGGUGCGGGGGGCGGGGGCAACUCCGCUGUUCCGUGGCCGGCUCCUUUUUUCUCCGGCAAUUACCUCAGCAGGGAAAAGCCGCGUGCCCUUGAGUGGGUGUGCGGUUGCGACCCUGCGCGUUUACUUUGACAAAAUGAGAGUGUUCAAGGCAAAUAGUUUGGUUUGAAUCGAUUAGCAUGGAAUAAUGGAAGAAGAGGGCCGGUGCGUUUUUUCUUUUUCCCGUUUUUUGGUUUCUGCACGGGCUUUUCAUGAGCAAGAGGGGCGGCAUUGGGGGCAUUGGUAUGUGGCUGUCAGAGGUGAAAUUCUUGGAUUUGCUACAGACUGGCGAAGGCGAAGGCAUCUGUCCAGGACGCUUUCAUUGAUCAAGAACGAAAGUUGGGGGAUCGAAGGUGAUUAGAGACCAUUUUAGUCCCAACUGUAAACGAUGUCGGUUGUGGGUUGGGGGAGACGAAUUUUAAGCUCUCUCGGUACACCUCGGGAAACCAAAACGUUUGGAUUCUGGGGGGAGUAUUGUCGCAAGGCUGAAACUUAAAGGAAUUGACGGAAGGGCACCACCAGGAGUGGAGCCUGC
rnacentral:rRNA from 1 species